rnacentral:rRNA from 1 species
UACGGAGGGAGCUAGCGUUGUUCGGAAUUACUGGGCGUAAAGCGCACGUAGGCGGCUUUGUAAGUUAGAAGGUGGAAAGCCCCGGGGCUCAACUCCGGAAUUGCCUUUAAGACUGCAUCGCUAGAAUUGUGGAGAGGUAAGUGGAAUUCCGAGUGUAGAGGUGAAAUUCGUAGAUAUUCGGAAGAACACCAGUGGCGAAGGCGACUUACUGGACACAUAUUGACGCUGAGGUGGCGAAAAGCGUGGGGAGCAAACAGG